rnacentral:lncRNA from 1 species
AUGAGAGACAAAACUGCAACCUCGGCGAAACUACACGCGCCCCGCCCGGCGCCACCUUAUAUAGUCUCCGACCGCCCCGGAGAGAUCCCUCCGCAGAAACGCCGAGAAGGGGACUACUUUUCUAGCGCGUUCCGCCCCCUGGAAGGAAGCGGAGUGAGCGGAGUCACGCGGAUCUCUGGAAUGUUCUGCCAUGAAGACCCGGAUGCAGGGCUUCAGACGGGCCCGGCGGAGGGAUCAGCGCGGCCGCCGCGCACNNNNNNNNNNNNNNNNNNNNNNNNNNNNNNNNNNNNNNNNNNNNNNNNNNNNNNNNNNNNNNNNNNNNNNNNNNNNNNNNNNNNNNNNNNNNNNNNGAGUGGGACCGGGACCUCAGCCUGCCCCGCGCCCCCGUCCUCGGCCUCAGCAUCCCCACCGGCCACGAGACACCUCUCCCGGGUGGACGGACGGCGCCUCGGAGGAGCGAGCGCGUCCUGCGGGCAAAGACCGGAAAGAAACCAAAAGCUGAGACUGGUGGGAAGGUGGCAGCUUGGCCUCCAGCCACACCCUGCUCGCCUUGGCAGGAGCUCCUGAGGCCUCGUGACUCUGUUGUUCAAGGGCUGACUCAUAGCUCUGCGCCUGGAGCUGUUCCAAGUCCGAAGGUACCGGAGGGGGUGGGCUGAUCAAUAGGCCAGGGGAGGGGCAGCAAGCACACGCUAGGGCACGCUUCCCCAAGGGGCCCGAAGGAGGCCCCCCAACUGCGAGGGAUUUGCCCUGCCAGGGUCGUCUGGUUUUUUAAGGCAGGGUCUCACUAUGUAGCCCAGGCUGGCUUUGUGAUCCUCCUGCCUCAGCCUCCCGAGUGCUGGGAUUACAGCCCCACACCGCUAUGCAGGUCUCAAGGGGACAGAAUCCUCAGCUGUGGCAGCUGUGGGGACAGGCGGGUGGUGGUGCUAGGGACAGAGGCGACAGAGGCUGAGGGCGCUGGGAAACACUCUGCAGGGGACACCCCCACCACGAGGACUUCCGUGACCCCCGUGUCACAGUGUCACUCUGGGCGUGUCAUUGUCACAGAGGAGACUCACCGUCUGCGUGGUCCACUUGGCCCCAGAGGCGGGAGUCAGGUCCGAGCCUGAAACCCGAACCCUGACCUGGAAUUUGACAGGGAUAGCCGCGCAGAACUUGGACCAGCGCCUGAGUCACCGCCCCGACCCGUUCCUGGUCCCAGGCUCCGUCCUUUGCAGAUGGCCCGGGGACCUGGCGACAGGCGGGGUUGGCGAGGGCAGCGCGGGGGGUGGGGGAGCGGUCCCUGCCCGCCCUCCUCCAGGGUCACCUGCUUGUGGCCCGAGUCCCCUCCCCGAGCUGGCUGAUCCCUGCUAGGGAGCGGGGUCCCCAGGAGAAGGGGUGAAGUCAGAGCUGGGCAGGGCUGGGUCCUCUGUCACGGGUUAAGAGGCCGUACAAGGUCACCAAGGGCGUCGGCGCGGGGGAGGAGCGAAGGCCCGGAUGUCUCGUCCCUGUCCACGCGCGGCCUCCGCCAGCACGGUGACCCUUCGCCUGGAAGACGCCAGCGCAGUUCCGGCCUUGGGCAGGAACUUCGGGAGGCACAAACUAGCUGCACUUUUUGUGUUCUUAAAUUGUGGCCAGUUGCAACCUAAUAGUGAUUUUGGGGGGGUGGUACCAGGUUAUUCCUAAGUAAAUAAACGUUACCACUGAGCUACAUCUCCAGCUCUUUUUAUGUGAUUGUAUUUAUUUAUUUUGAAUUUAUUAUUUAUAUUGUAUUUUUCUUUGAGACACAGUCUAGCUAUGUAGUUCAGGCUGGCUUUGAACUCAAAGCAUCUUCCUGCCUCAGCCUCCGAGUGCUGGGAUCACAGGUGUGUGCCACCCCACCCAGCUAAAACUAUUUUUAAGUUUUAAGUGUAUGCUUCAGUACUGUUGAAUUCAUUCCCAUUGUUGUGUAGCUGUCACCACCAUCCACCUCCCAAACUUGUGUCUUGCAGAACUGAAACGGCCCGGUUAAACAGCCCCCCACCGCCUCCCCAGUCCUAGCCCCGACCCUGACCAUAACUCACUCUUCUGCUUGCUUUCUGUCUGAAUUCUCCUCCAGCUCCCUGCCAUAAUGACAAAGCCCAACCGACCUCCAUUGCUGCUUGACAAAGUUCCAGCUAGGGGAAAGAAAGGGUGGAACACAUCGCACCCUCAUGUUUUAUUUUUUCUUGCCAUAAUGUUUAUAAUUGUUACUCUGGUCACAGGAGUCACUGUGUUUGUGACUAACAACAAACUCUCCAUGAGGCAAAUUGGUAAUGAUAUAUUGAAAUCUGAUCUGGCUCACAAGUCCCAAAUUCCAGUUUCUCUUAGUUCUAUUGCCACAUCCACUCCUAAAGAAACCUCUCCUAAAACCCCCUCUGUUUCCCCACUACUAUAACAC